AUGGUGUUUCAGCUGCACUUAGUGCAUUGGAAUGCAGUCAAAUUUGAAAACUUUGAGGACGCAGCACCGGAAGAAAACGGUUUGGCUGUGAUAGGAGUAUUUUUAAAGGUAUCUCCAGUUUUCAGGACCUGGCAGAAAUUCUUCUACGUUCUGCCUUCAAAGGUCAGGUACAAAAAAGUAGAGGCAGCUGCCAGGCCCCUUUGCCCAGAGCUCAGUGUCUGGGACCAUGAGUGGGAAGGAUUGAGGCUUGGGCCUCCUUGGGCCACCAGACAGCAUGGGGCACCACCCACCCGUUCUGCAGCUGCGCGCCGCAAAGCUCUGGCCUGACCGUGGCCUCCUGCUCCAUGCGACACUUGCUGGCCAGACCAUACCCAGCACACGGCGCCUCGUGCACUUUCCGACAUUUUGAUGCCAAGGGUCGCUGGUCACUGAGCACUGACAUUUGAUCUCGGACCGUGACCGCAGAUUUUGGAAAUUUCUGGCAUCCCGGUGUCUACUGAAAGGCCCCACCCACUGCCCUACUCUCAUAGGCAGCUACCUGAGCCGCUUCCUGGGCUGGCUCUGGGCCAGAAAGCUGCGCCCCGCCCAGAAGCACUGGGCCCUGCGGUCCAGGCCCUUCUUCCUCAGCCCCCAGAUCCAGGAGAACUGCAAGGUCACCUACUUCCAAGGGAAGCACUGGGUCCGCACUCGGCCCCUCCCCACCGCUCCUCCCAGCUGGGACUACCCCCGCAUCCGCAUCCGCAUCCGCAUCCGGAGAGAGAUGGUCCCCGCCCCCAUCCACCUCCGGAGAUGGUCCCCCAGGCCUGGAGGUGCUUUCCCAACAGGCCGCCGCUGCUGAGCAACAUCAGGCCUGAUUUCUCCGAGGCUCGCGUGGCUUACGUGAAGCGGUGUCUUUGGACCGCCCGCCACUCCCCCAGCCUGUCCACAGCCUGGUGACUGUGAAAAUCACCCCGCCGGAGCGCAGAGGGAGCCGGACGCCCAGGCCAUCUGCCUUCAAGCCUGUGAUGAGAAACGGAGUGGCCCAUUCCUUUGUGCCCAGGUCUAGGCCGCUGAGCAGAGGCCCCCACUCCCAGGCAGCGUUGGCUCCAUCCCCCCUGGCGGCCGCCUGCCAUGCUGCAGGAUGUGCGGCUGCCAGGCGCCCGGUCACCGAGCCACCGCAGGAGCGCUGGGCCUGCGGGCAGCACUGCCCUGACGCCUCAGGCUUGCCUGCACCUGGAAGGAGCUUCGCCAGGGGGACCAUGAGCCUCUGAGCACACCCAGCCUGCUGCCCAGCUCCAAGAGUCAGGCCUCUGCCACCACCUCCUGAGCCUCCAGCCCUCAGCGCCUUCACCCUACUCACUGUGGUUCCACCCCCACACCAGCCACCGGCCCCACCAGGGCACUUUCCACUGCUCCAGCCGACCACUCAGCGAGCCCCAGGCCCACCUCUCCUCUCCCUUAAAACCCUUGCCUUUUCCUUGCGCAUUGGCCCCUGCCUUCUCCCUGGAGACAGAAGGCAUGCUUCUCCGCAGUUUCCCCAGUUUCUGCAAUAAAAUAUUUGUUGUUGUUAAUAAUAAUAGAUGU
ensembl:lncRNA